AUUAAAGCUCCGGCGGUUAGAGAUGGGCAUGCGUGUCAUUAGCUAGUUGGUGAGGCAACGGCUCACCAAGGCCACGAUGACUAGGGGGUCUGAGAGGAUGAUCCCCCACACUGGUACUGAGACACGGACCAGACUCCUACGGGAGGCAGCAGUGAGGAAUAUUGGGCAAUGGACGCAAGUCUGACCCAGCCAUGCCGCGUGCAGGAUGACUGCCCUAUGGGUUGUAAACUGCUUUUGUUUGGGAAGAAACCCCCGAUCGUGAUCGGGGCUGACGGUACCAUACGAAUAAGCAUCGGCUAACUCCGUGCCAGCAGCCGCGGUAAUACGGAGGAUGCAAGCGUUAUCCGGAUUCAUUGGGUUUAAAGGGUGCGCAGGCGGAAUAUUAAGUCAGUGGUGAAAUCCUGCAGCUUAACUGUAGAACUGCCAUUGAUACUGAUAUUCUUGAAUAUAGUUGAGGUGGGCGGAAUGUGUAAUGUAGCGGUGAAAUGCUUAGAUAUUACACAGAACACCAAUUGCGAAGGCAGCUCACUAAACUAAUAUUGACGCUGAGGCACGAAAGCGUGGGUAGCAAACAGGAUUAGAUACCCUGGUAGUCCACGCUGUAAACUAUGAUCACUCGCUGUUGGCAAUACAUCGUCAGCGGCUGAGCGAAAGCAUUAAGUGAUCCACCUGGGGAGUACGGUCGCAAGAUUGAAACUCAAAGGAAUUGACGGGGGCCCGCACAAGCGGAGGAACAUGUGGUUUAAUUCGAUGAUACGCGAGGAACCUUACCUGGGCUUAAAUGCAGAGCGACGUCCGCCGAAAGGUGGAUUCCUUCGGGCGAUCUGCAAGGUGCUGCAUGGUUGUCGUCAGCUCGUGCCGUGAGGUGUCGGGUUAAGUCCCAUAACGAGCGCAACCCUUAUCGUUAGUUGCCAGCGGGUAAUGCCGGGGACUCUAACGAAACUGCCGGUGUAAACCGUGAGGAAGGUGGGGAUGACGUCAAAUCAGCACGGCCCUUAUGUCCAGGGCUACACACGUGUUACAAUGGUCGGUACAGAGGGCAGCUACCACGCAAGUGG
rnacentral:rRNA from 1 species